GACCCUAUCGUCUAGCUGGCCAAGGACAUUAGGACUUCAUCCUAAGAACGAUAGUUCAAAUCUAUCUGGGGUCGCCA
rnacentral:tRNA from 1 species